rnacentral:rRNA from 1 species
UGUAUAAGGUGCAUAUGGUUGAGUGUCGUA